CCUCUCUUUCUCCACCCCUCCUGCCCCACCCCUGUCCUCGGUUCUCCCCCCACUUCUCUGCCUGCCUCCCUCCCAACCCCAGGCCCCAGUUGUCCUCUGAACUUUUCCCAGAAGUCUCUCCCCUAUUUCCCCCCUCACUGGUCUCUCCCUCCAUCUCCCCACCCUUCUCCAUCAGCCUCCCCAGCGCCUCCCCAGCUCCCCGAAUUGCCCCCUCUUCAUUCUUUGGAGUCUCUCCCCAACCCUGUCACCCUCUCUGAGCCCCCCUGCUUCCCCUUUCCCUUCUCCCAGGGCGAUUCCUUAGUCUCCCUUCCAUAGCUGCUUCUGCCCCCAUCCCCGCCGCCCCACCCCGCCCCUCUCUCAUCCCUGCUCUGUGUCCACUUGCCCUCUGCUCAUCCCCGACUAGAUACCUGGAGACAAACAGAAACUGGGUUCUCUGCGGGGGGAGGGGACGAUAUGCUGGGCCUGGUUACCAUGGUGCCGUGAGGCGGGUGGGGAGCAGGGCUGGGGCGAUUCUUCCUGAAUGUGGGGAAAGUAGAACUGAGGCCCGGACUGGAGGCUCUAUGCAGGCAGGUGCCUGGUUAGGCCAGCCUUUGUGCCUAUGGUGGUGGUGGCCAGUGUGCCACCCUGCAGAUACAGAACUUGCUUGAGAGCAAAGACAAUCGGCGGGGAAGGCAGCCAGCUUUCCAGUGGUUGGCAUGGCCGGGUCCAGCUGUGCCGGAAGCUCACAAUUCUGUUAGGAGUUGAGAAACUUAAACGUCGAUCAGUUUAA